rnacentral:rRNA from 1 species
GUUUGAUCAUGGCUCAGAGUGAACGCUGGCGGCGUGCUUAACACAUGCAAGUCGAACGAGAACGGGUCUAGCUUGCUAGACUGUCAGCUAAGUGGCGGACGGGUGAGUAAUGUAUAGUUAAUCUGCCCCCUAGAGAGGGAUAACUACUGGAAACGGUAGCUAAUACCUCAUACUCCUUUUACCUUAAUGGUAAUUGGGAAAUGUCUUUUCGCUAGGGGAUGAGACUAUAUGGUAUCAGGUAGUUGGUGGGGUAAGAGCCUACCAAGCCUAUGACGCCUAGCUGGUCUGAGAGGAUGAUCCGCCACACUGGUACUGAGACACGGACCAGACUCCUACGGGAGGCAGCAGUGGGGAAUAUUGCACAAUGGACGAAAGUCUGAUGCAGCAACGCCGCGUGGAGGAUGACACAUUUCGGUGCGUAAACUCCUUUUAUAUAAGAAGAUAAUGACGGUAUUAUAUGAAUAAGCACCGGCUAACUCCGUGCCAGCAGCCGCGGUAAUACGGAGGGUGCAAGCGUUAUUCGGAAUCACUGGGCGUAAAGGGUGCGUAGGCGGUUUGGAAAGUCAGAUGUGAAAGCCUACAGCUUAACUGUAGAACUGCAUUUGAAACUUCCAGACUAGAAUACUGAAGGGGCAGAUGGAAUUAGUGGUGUAGGGGUAAAAUCCGUAGAUAUCACUAGGAAUACCGAAAGCGAAAGCGAUCUGCUGGGAAGUUAUUGACGCUGAGGCACGAAAGCGUGGGGAGCAAACGGGAUUAGAUACCCCGGUAGUCCACGCCCUAAACGAUGAAUGCUAGUCGUCGGAAAGCUCGUCUUUUCGGUGAUGCAGUUAACACAUUAACAUUCCGCCUGGGGAGUACGGUCGCAAGAUUAAACUCAAAGGAAUAGACGGGGACCCGCACAGUGGUGGAGCAUGUGGUUUAAUUCGAAGAAAACGCGAAGAACCUUACCUAGC